UUUUCCUGAAUGAUUUUCGAACAAAUUCCAGGCACAUGACUCUGAGCCUUCAAGUGAUGAUUUGAGAUUUUUGGUUGGAUUUUGCUGCGGGUUACAAGGUUGGAUUCACUGUAGGUGUUAGGCGGGGUUCAUAGGUUGAGUGCGAUCGGGAUGCUUAAAUGAUCUCCUUGGUCCUGUGAAUGUGCAUAUGGGAAACAAAGUGAUGGCAGCUUAAUAGCAAAAAGACUUCAAUUUCAAGCAAAUUGGAAGGCAGGACCACCAACAUCCUGAACAAAGAUUGCCAACUCAUGGAUCUCACACUCUCACUGAGAUCCUCGCCAACAAUCGAACAGCUAACAUUAACACUGUUUGGCGGUUAUACGCAUGAUUAUUCUUUGUUUCACAAGAACUCAGAUUGUUUAAUCAAUUGCUGU